rnacentral:ncRNA from 2 species
GGCAUAGAGCCACCGUCAGGUGCCCGCCCCAGGUGGGAGAAUCGGGAAUUCGGUGAGAGACCGAAACGUGCCCAACGCUGUAAGGCUGACGACUGCCGCAACACGCCACUGGUGAAACACCGGGAAGGCGCGGCAGUCGGAUGACGCCAAGUCAGAAGACCGGCCUGACAUCAUAGACUGGC